AUGACGGAAGUGGCGUUAGCUAGUGCUGGCUUAAGAUUGGCUGCAUCGCCAGUCCUGAAGAAGCUCCUUGCUAAUGCUUCAACAUUCCUUGGAGUGGACAUGGGGCGUGAGCUCCAUGAACUGGAGACCACUAUCUUGCCACAGUUCGAGCUGGUGAUUGAAGCAGCAAACAAGGGAAACCACAUGACUAGGUUGGAAAAAUGGCUUCAGGAACUCAAAGACGCCUUCUACAUGGCUGAAGACUUGCUGGAUGAGCACGAGUACAACCUCCUCAAGCGCAAAGCAAACGGGAAGGAUUCCUUGCCUGGCAAUGCCUCCUCCAUCAGCAGCACUUUUAUGAAGCCUUUACGUGCUGCGUCGAGCAGGCUGUCCAAUCUGAGCUCUGAGAACAUAAAGCAAAUUAGCCAGCUGAAUGAACUGAGGGCUACACUGGCGAAAGCCAAGGAAUUCCAUGAACUGCUCUGCUUACCAGCUAGUUGUGAUCCAGAGAGCCCCACAAUACCAUCAGCUGUUGUUCCCGAGACCACAUCACUACCACCUCUGAAAGUGAUUGGUCGUGAUAAGGAUUGCAAUCAUAUAAUACAUUGUCUUACCAAGACAACUGCUACUACAGAGUGUAGUAUAGCUAUGGACUUAAGUUUGGCCAUUGUUGGAGCUGGAGGCAUGGGAAAGUCCACCUUGGCGCGGCUUGUUUACAAUUGCAAGAGGGUAAAAGAAUAUUUUGAUGUGACAAUGUGGGUAAGCAUCUCACGGAAACUUGAUGUCCGCCGUCAUACGCGGGAGAUUAUAGAGUCUGCCUCUCAGGGGGGAUGUCCUCAAAUUGAUAACCUUGAUACUCUACAGCGCAAGUUGACCGACAUUCUACAAGAAUCCAGAAAAUUCCUGCUUGUGUUGGAUGAUGUUUGGUUUGAACCUGGCAGUGAGAGGGAAUGGGACCAACUGUUGGCUCCUCUAGCUUCCCAACAGACGGGAAGUAAAGUUUUGGUAACUUCUCAACGGGAUAUAUUUCCAGCUGCUCUUUGCUGUGAAGAAGUGUUUCCUCUGCAAAAGAUGGAAGAUGCUCAGUUCUUGGCACUCUUCAAGCACCAUGCAUUCUCUGGACCAAAAACUGGAAAUCCAAAGUUGCAUGAAAGGUUGGAAGAUUUUGCAAAGAAGAUCACUAAAAGACUUGGACAAUCUCCUUUGGCAGCAAAAGUUGUGGGCUCUCAGUUAAAAGGGAAGACAGAUAUCACCGCAUGGAAGGAUGCUCUAACUAUGAAGGUUGACAAAUUAAGUGAGCCCAUGAGAGCUCUGUUGUGGAGUUAUGAGAAGUUAGAUCCAUGUCUGCAGAGGUGCUUCCUAUAUUGCAGCUUGUUUCCAAAAGGCUACAAAUAUGGCAUUGAUGAUUUGGUUCAUCUUUGGAUGGCUGAGGGCCUUGUUGAUUCACGCAACCAAACCAAAAGAAUGGAAGAUGUUGGGAGUGAUUGCUUCAAGGAGAUGAUCUCUGCUUCAUUCUUUCAACCAGUUAAUGAGGAAAACACUUCCACGUACUAUGUAAUGCAUGAUCUCCUUCAUGAUCUGGCAGAAUUACUCUCCAAAGAAGACUACUUCAGACUGGAAGAUGAUAAGGUACUUCUAUUAAAUGGAAAAGCUGACAGUUUUCCUGAGAAACUCUGCAAUUUAACAAAGCUGCGGCAUCUUCAAUGGUCAUACAACGAAGGAGUGCCUCAAAUUCCAAACAUUGGGAAGCUAACUUCGCUCCAACAAUUUGAUAAUUUUUCUGUGCAAAAGAAAAAGGGAUAUGAGUUGCAACAGUUGAGGGACAUGAACGAGAUUCGUGGCAGUUUAUGUGUGAAAAAUCUUGAGAAUGUCACUGGGAAGGAUGAAGCCUUAGAAUCAAAGUUGCACCAGAAAAGUCAUCUUGGCAGCUUACUACUUCUCUGGAGUUUCAAAAAUAACACAAAUGCAGAGGAUAGUUUACAUUUGGCGGUUCUAGAAGGCUUGAUGCCACCACCUCAACUUGAGGAUCUUACAAUUAGCGGUUAUAAAUCUUCAAAAUAUCCAGGCUGGUUACUUGAUGGUUCAUAUUUUGAGAAUUUGGUAUCAUUAUUCUUUGAAAAUUGCAGUCUAGUACAAAGCCUACCAUCCAGUACUGAGUUAUUUAGGAAUUGCUCUGCACUUUACCUCGAUAAUAUGCCAAACCUGAAGGCAUUACCUUGCCUUCCACUAGGACUUGAAGAGUUAUCAAUAUACAAUUGUCCACUGCUUCUAUUUAUAUACAAUGAUGAGCUGAAACAUCAUGAUCAGAGAGAGAAAAUCAUUAAGACUGACCACUUGGCCUCACAACUUAGUUUAAUAUGGGAGGCGGAUUCAGGAUCAGAUAUUAGGAGUGUACUCUCAUCAGAACAUUCACUUUUGAUGCAUAUUGAUAUGUCACAUGUUCAAAACCUUGAAAGUGCUCUAGAAAGGGAGAAAGAUGAAGUAUCGAUAAAAGAGGAUAUCAUCAAGGCAUGGAUAUACCGUCAUGAGCAUAUGAUGAGACUCAUGUAUGAAAGGAGCAUUGGACUGCCGCUGGUUCCACCGUCAGGACUUCGUCAACUUACUCUUUCUUCAUGCAGUAUUACAGAUGAAGCUUUAGCUGUUUGCCUUGAUGGCCUGGCUUCACUGCAAAUAUUGAUCCUUUCAAAGAUUAUGACAUUAACUACACUUCCUUCAAAAGAGAUCCUCCAACGUUUGACAAAACUUAACUUCUUGCAAGUCGGAUAUUGCUGGUGCCUCUGGUCAUUAGGGGGCUUACGAGUUGUUACCUCUGUUUCAGCUGUUGAAUUGUUUUCCUGCCCUUCUUUAGGGUUGGCACAUGGAGCCGAAUGUUUGCCAUUAUCCCUUGAGAGCCUUGCUAUAAAGAAUUGCGUGCUUGCAGCUGACUUCCUCUGUACUGACUGGCCACACAUGAAGAAUAUUCACAUAGCCAAUUGCAGAACCACCUCAUGCAUUUCUGUUGGUAGUCUCACCUCUGUUAAAUCACUCUCACUGCUUCACUUGCCAGAUUUAUGUACGCUUGAGGGAUUGUCUUCCCUACUGCAACUUUCCAGCGUACGUUUGAUUGAUGUUCCAAAACUCACCCUCGAGUGUGUCUCACAGUUUCGAGUCCAGCGCACACUCGAUGUUAGCAGUCCUGUAAUACUGAACACCAUGCUCUCGGCUGAUGGUCUCACAGUUACAACAAUCACUCUUACAAGAUGCAAGGAACCAUUCAUUUCAUUAGAAGAAUCAGCAAAUUUCACAUCUGUCAUGGACCUGGGUUUCAUUGAUUGUCAAAUGAUUUCCCUGCCAACAAAUCUGAAGUCUUUCUCCAAUCUGAAGACGCUUGACAUCUUUAGUUUCGUUAAAGAUAGUUUUUGCACGCACCCUGCAAAGUGGGAAAGGUACCAGUGCAUAUUAUAUUAUGAACCAGUGCCAAAUCUAGAGUAUUCUACGGAAGAGUCAGAGUACGAGUACGAGGAAGAAGAGUCAGAGUACGGGGAAGAAGAACCAGAUCAUUAUGAAGAAAAGCCAUCACCAAUUCACCAGGCGAGAUUGGGUGGCCUGGGCUCAGAAGAAGCAUCUCCAUAUGAUCUUAGUAGAAAAGGGAGGAAAUAUGUUGCAUUUGAGGGGAUAAGCACUGGUAGGAGGUUCAUUGCCUGUGCCACUGAAGGUGUUGCAAAUUGUGGAUUAGUGCAGUGGGUAGAUGAGCAUUGGCCAGAGCAUCUGCAGAAUGCUAUUCAUAAGAUGUGGCUUAUGAAUGGUAUCCAUCACAGUUUGGAGGUAAUCCCUUAUCCUAGUGUAUUGUGCCCUCUGAUCUCCUUGGACAACUUCCUUAGCUGCUUUCCUUGCCCUGUAGGCCAUGUGAAUGGACACUUCAAUUCCAUUGACUUUGGUGCUCUCUCCAACAGCAGGACAGUUGUGGUAUAA
rnacentral:rRNA from 1 species